GUUCUCUCCUGGGUGGCAGCCGGUUUUGAGAUUUCGCUCCGGUACAGAGGAGUAGGGGGCGCUGCAGGGAAGGCUGGUCACCUGGUAUCGGGAGUUUAGCUUGUAGUGCCUGUGUGGGUUCACUGUGUGUGUUUUCCAGUACUGUUCACCUGUGUGGGUUGCGGUGGUUGCGUCUCCUAUAUCCACGUGUGGUCUUGACCUCCCUGUCCUCAGGAUAGCCUGCCUCCCUGUGAGGCAAAGCAGCAGCCAGCGGACGGUGGUAGCAGCAAACAUCCUUAUAACAACGCUUCUGGAGUAGGGGGCGCUGCAGGGAAGGCUGGUCACCUGGUAUCGGGAGUUUAGCUUGUAGUGCCUGUGUGGGUUCACUGUGUGUGUUUUCCAGUACUGUUCACCUGUGUGGGUUGCGGUGGUUGCGUCUCCUAUAUCCACGUGUGGUCUUGACCUCCCUGUCCUCAGGAUAGCCUGCCUCCCUGUGGUAAGCCCUACUCCUUCUUGUCUAAUUAAUUGUCUUGUUACAUCCCCAUCCUGUUGGGUGCAGUCAUACAUUUUAAUAAUAAAUUAAUAUUUUCUUAAGUUUUGUUGCAGCUCUUUCCCUCCAGUCUAAGUUCUG